AGGCGGAUCCUUGGGGUUAAGUCGUAACAAGGUAUCCUUACCGGAAGGUGAGGAUGGAUCACCUCCUUUCUAAGGACAUACAUAUAAAAAUCAUCAUCUUCAGUUUUGAAAGACUUAGGUUAAAAUAUAAGUUUUUCUUUUUACAAAAAAAAGUGUUUCUCUUAUAUAAAAGACCAAAGGGCCUAUAGCUCAGUUGGUUAGAGCACACGCCUGAUAAGCGUGAGGUCGGUGGUUCGAGUCCACUUAGGCCCACCAAUUUUAUAUCAGGAAAUUAUUUACUUCGAAGAAAGUUCUUUGAAAGGUAGAUAAACAUGAUUUGCCUAAUUCAAUUAAAGUUGAAGAAAGUAAGGGCGUACAGUGAAUGCCUUGGCACUAAGAGCCGUGGAGGACGGAAUUCGCCUAAUCUCUAG
rnacentral:misc_RNA from 1 species